AGAGGAAUAGCUGGGUCAAAUGAUGGUUCCAUUCCCAGAUUUCCAAGGAAUCUCCAUACUGCUUUCCAUAUUGGCUGCACCAAUUUACAGUCCCACAAGCAAU
rnacentral:pre_miRNA from 1 species